UACGAAGGAGGGUAGUGUUGUUCGGAAUCACUGGGCGUAAAGCGCACGUAGGCGGCGCGUUAAGUCAGGGGUGAAAUCCUGGAGCUCAACUCCAGAACUGCCUUUGAUAUUGGCGUGCUCGAGUGUGGGAGAGGUUGGUGGAACUCCGAGUGUAGAGGUGAAAUUCGUAGAUAUUCGGAAGAACACCAGUCGCGAAGGCGGCCAACUGGACCAUUACUGACGCUGAGGUGCGAAAGCGUGGGGAGCAAACAGG
rnacentral:rRNA from 1 species